GUGCUAAUCUGCGUCAGCUGGGGCUGUAUUUGGAAGAAGAGGCGCUGCCUCCAAUCAAGUCUGUUUUUUUCAGGUCGGAACUGUAGGCCUUUGCGCACUGCUGGAAAUCGUGAAAAGCAAGAGAGAAGAGUCCCAGUUAUUCUUUCUGCCUUUGAUAAGUGAAUUUAGAGCAACUACUAGUGCCAGUAGGCAUGGGGAAUCUACCGAUGAAGAAGACACAGUCUCCGCUCUCGUGGAGUUUACAGAGAAUAAUGAAUGAGAUUAAUUAAGAAAUGAAUGAGAUUAAUAUGAAUGAAAUUGCCAGACUGAAUGAAGUGAAUGGCCCGAAUAUAAACAAUUUCCAAAUACAGAUAACACUGCAUAUCUAGUGUUGGCAAUACUCCCUUCGCGCUUGAGGAAGAAGCACUAUGUCUGGGGCCAAGGGUGACCCUUUGUUUGUUGUUGGGGUACCUUUCAUUUCGCACUUUCUCCUCUGCUCCUCUCCAGAGGAAGUUAUUGUCCCAAAGUUGUGUGUCAUGCCUGAAGUGUCUGGGAUCCCUGAGUACCUGUGGUGCCCAAGAGCUAUGAAUCUGCUAUCAUCAACACAGAGGGUACCUUCUGAAUGGGCUAUCUCUGCAGUGAUGCUGCAAAUGGAAGCUAACCCUAGGAUGACUGGCUUCUGACACUUGAGCCAUCCCGUCAUCUGUCAUGGGUUGACCCAUCCAUCCCCUCAAUGAGCUGACCUUGAGGACCACUGACAGAGGAGCAGUCAAUAGAAAUUAAUUGUUAAAUACCCAGAAAAUCUCAAAUGGUAUUUAAUAUGCAGUUCAUCAAAAGCAAAACUUCCUUAAAUUUUCAUCUAGAAAAGUUAUUUAUAAGGGAUGAAUGUAUAAAUAUGUUGUAUGCAAAUAUUAUAUUCAAGGGCAAGACCAUGUAAACAGUUUAAGAAUCCAACGACAGGGAAUUGGAUAAAGACAUCAGAGUGCACUUGUCAAAACACAGCUAUCAAGAAUGAUGAUGUUGAACAACAGUUUAGCAAUAUAAUUGUCUAGAACCACAGGGAGUCUGAGAUUUUACCCAACUUGUAAGUUAACAAUUCUGCCAUAGCUUCAUGAAAGAAGACACAAGACCCCUGGGUCAGGAACAAAGGUCUCUAAUACUCACAGCAGUAUCAGGAACCAGAAUUUCAGGAUCUUUUUUUCCUGCCAGUUUCUCAAGUCCUAAUUACCACAGAGUUACAGGAAAGGGCCAGGUAACACUAGCACUGCCAUCAGUGGCUGUAUUACAGAACAGGAACUCCAAGCUUAGGAAACCCAAAUCUUUUAUAGUUAACAAUAAACACAUCUGCCAUUGUUCUGAAGGGAGACGCUACGCCAGUCUUCCACACCUGUUCACUAUAUAAGUAUCUGUGAAAAGAUAGACAGGAAAAUAGGUGGAGAAUGCCUCUGCUCACAAGAUGUGCAGAAACGUGAGAGGCUCAUGGAGAACUGUUUCCCUACGAUGACAAAAUGCUGACAAUAUAUUGUUAUGUAAAAUAAAGCAGGCAUUUUUCACCUCAUUUUCAUGAAAUACAGGUGUGUUUAUAUAGAUAUUUAGAAAAGUAUGAAAGGACAUUCAUCCAGAUAGCAAUAGAAGAGUUUAUUAUUUUUGCUAGUUGUAAGUUCAAACUUUUCUAGUAAAAAUAGAUUACUUGUGAAAUUAUUUUUAAUUAUUACUUUUUUUUUUUAAAUGGAGUCUUGCUCUGUUGCCCAGGCUCGAGUGCAGUGGCAUGAUCUCAGCUCACCGCAACAUCCACCUCCUGGGUUCAAGCAAUUCUCCUGCCUCAGCCUCUUGAGUAGCUGGGAUUACAGGUGCAUGCCACCAUGCCCAGCUAAUUUUUGUAUUUUUAGUAGAGACAGGAUUUCACCAUGUUGGUCAGGCUAGUCUCGAACUCCUGACCUCAUGAUCUGUCCACUUCAGCCUCCCAAAGUGCUAGAAUUACAGGCGUGAGCCACUGCACCCCUCCUGAAUGCCAAUUUAAUAACUGAGGAAGCCCUUAAAAUACCCCGCUGACUUCCACAUGGGUGUGUAAAAUAGAAUCUGCUCAUAUCUUACAGGAGAUAGGUACAUGCUUAAUGUUCUUAGGAGAGACCUGCCUUUUGACACGGAAGCUGUGGCAUUGUUGACAAAAGCAUACCUCCUUAAACCAUGCAAACCACGUUCACAUCAGAGCUGCCUACGAAUGAUUAUUUUCCAUGGUGCUAUGCUCCCUCCUGCCUGCCUCAGUGGCAAGUGUGACUCAGCAAGUGUAUCCAGGGCAUCCCUCACUCUUACUUAUUUUUGCCAAAUGCAGUGGAAGUGUAUAGACUCUUUUUCAUAUUUAUGUUGGCUGCAGAGCAUAAAUCUGAAUAGGUUCUCCAAAGUAAGCUUUUUCUGCAUGCAUUUGCUCCCAAUGAUGAUAAGUGUUAUGAAUUGCUUUAUAGUAAUCAUUAUGCUUUUCCAUAUUUUUUAUGGUUAGUCUGUGCUAAUAAACUUGUUUGGUUU
rnacentral:antisense_RNA from 1 species